rnacentral:rRNA from 1 species
UCAGAAUGAACGCUGGCGGCAUGCCUAACACAUGCAAGUCGAACGAGACCUUCGGGUCUAGUGGCGCACGGGUGCGUAACGCGUGGGAAUCUGCCCUUGGGUUCGGAAUAACAGUGAGAAAUUACUGCUAAUACCGAAUGAUGACGUAAGUCCAAAGAUUUAUCGCCCAGGGAUGAGCCCGCGUAGGAUUAGCUAGUUGGUGAGGUAAAAGCUCACCAAGGCGACGAUCCUUAGCUGGUCUGAGAGGAUGAUCAGCCACACUGGGACUGAGACACGGCCCAGACUCCUACGGGAGGCAGCAGUGGGGAAUAUUGGACAAUGGGCGAAAGCCUGAUCCAGCAAUGCCGCGUGAGUGAUGAAGGCCUUAGGGUUGUAAAGCUCUUUUACCCGGGAUGAUAAUGACAGUACCGGAGA